rnacentral:ncRNA from 12 species
GUAUGAUGAUGAAAUCCAUGCGUGUCAACUGACUCUGUCCGUCUCAGCUGUGGCGUUGCUCUGGGCGGCGUUCUGCUGGCCGAGAUUUUCGUGACAGCUGAGACCCAGAGACAUGAUCACAACUCAUGGUCCUGAAUAC